AGCAGCCGCGGUAAUUCCAGCUCCAAUAGCGUAUAUUAAAGUUGUUGCAGUUAAAAAGCUCGUAGUUGAAUUUCGGGAUCAAUAUGUCGGUCGUGCUUCGGUACGUACUGGCGUAAUUGAUUUCUCCCUUCUGACGAACCAUGAUGUCAUUAACUUGGUGUCAUGGGAAAUCAGGACUGUUACUUUGAAAAAUUAGAGUGUUUAAAGCAGGCUCACGCUUGAAUACAUUAGCAUGGAAUAAUGAAAUAGGACGUUCGAUCCUAUUUUGUUGGUUUUUAGGAUCAACGUAAUGAUUAAUAGGGAUAGUUGGGGGCAUUAGUAUUCAAUUGUCAGAGGUGAAAUUCUUGGAUUUAUUGAAGACUAACUACUGCGAAAGCAUUUGCCAAGGAUGUUUUCAUUAAUCAAGAACGAAAGUUAGGGGAUCGAAGACGAUCAGAUACCGUCGUAGUCUUAACCAUAAACUAUGCCGACUAGGGAUCGGAUGAUGUAAUUUUUAUGA
rnacentral:rRNA from 1 species